rnacentral:tRNA from 3 species
CGGAGUGUAGCGCAGUCCGGUAGCGCGCCUGUUUUGGGAGCAGGAUGUCGGGGGUUCAAAUCCCUCCACUCCGACCA